rnacentral:rRNA from 1 species
CGGCGGACGGGUGAGUAACGCGUGGACAACCUGCCCUAUGCAGGGGGAUAACAUCCGGAAACGGGUGCUAAUACCGCAUAAGCGCACAGUACCGCAUGGUACGGUGUGGAAAGCUGAGGCGGCAUAGGAUGGGUCCGCGUUGGAUUAGGCAGUUGGCGGGGUAACGGCCCACCAAACCGACGAUCCAUAGCCGGCCUGAGAGGGUGGACGGCCACAUUGGGACUGAGACACGGCCCAGACUCCUACGGAAGGCAGCAG